rnacentral:rRNA from 1 species
CGAGCACGCGCGUGUGGCAUAUCAAUAAGCGGAGGAAAAGAAACUAACAAGGAUUCCCUUAGUAACGGCGAGUGAAGCGGGAAGAGCUCAAAUUUGAAAUCUUCAAGGUUUUACCUUGACGAAUUGUAGUUUAUAGAAGUGUUUUCUGUAGUGGAGUUUGGUAAAAGUUCUUUGGAAUAGGACAUCAUAGAGGGCUGAGAAUCCCGUAUUUGACCAUUUCUUUCUAGCUGUGUGAUACACUUUCAAAGAGUCGGAUUGUUUGGGAAUGCAGUCCAAAAUGGGUGGUAAAUUUCAUCUAAAGCUAAAUAUUGGCGAGAGACCGAUAGCGAACAAGUACCGUGAGGGAAAGAUGAAAAGGAACUUUGAAAAGAGAGUUAAACAGUACGUGAAAUUGUCAAAAGGGAAGCGUUUGACACCAGUGUUGUUUUUCCGAAAAUCAAUUACGAAUGUUUUGUUUUUGAGGAGUUAUGACUUCAUCGGCUUGCUCCUUUCUUUACGAAACUUUCUUAAUGCACUUUUCGGUUAACAAGUCAACAUCAAUUUCUUUUGUUGUAAAAGGGUAUGAGGAAGGUGGCUUUCUUUUCGGAGAAAGUGUUUAUAGCCUUGUGCCUCUAGCAAUCGGAGAGAUUGAGGUCUGCAGCGUAGAUCCUUCGGGGUUAGAUACGUUUGUGCUAAGUUAUAGCUUUUCAUAGACAACUUGUUGACUAUGUUUAGUCUUGUAGCUUACUCGCUGACGCUAUUUUACCUACGCUUAGGAUGUUGAACUCUAUCACACACAG